rnacentral:tRNA from 1 species
GGGCCGUUGGCGCAGCGGGAGCGCGCUUCCCUGACACGGAAGAGGUCACUGGUUCAAAUCCAGUACGGCCCACCA